rnacentral:rRNA from 1 species
UAGGGAAUCUUCGGCAAUGGACGAAAGUCUGACCGAGCAACGCCGCGUGAGUGAAGAAGGUUUUCGGAUCGUAAAACUCUGUUGUUAGAGAAGAACAAGGACGUUAGUAACUGAACGUCCCCUGACGGUAUCUAACCAGAAAGCCACGGCUAACUACGUGCCAGCAGCCGCGGUAAUACGUAGGUGGCAAGCGUUGUCCGUAUUUAUUGGGCGUAAAGCGAGCGCAGGCGGUUUCUUAAGUCUGAUGUGAAAGCCCCCGGCUCAACCGGGGGGCGUCAUUGGAAACUGGGAGACUUGAGUGCAGAAGAGGAGAGUGGAAUUCCAUGUGUAGCGGUGAAAUGCGUAGAUAUAUGGAGGAACACCAGUGGCGAAGGCGGCUCUCUGGUCUGUAACUGACGCUGAGGCUCGAAAGCGUGGGGAGCAAACAGG